GAUGAAGAACGCAGCGAAAUGCGAUAAGUAAUGUGAAUUGCAGAAUUGCAGAAUUCAGUGAAUCAUCGAAUCUUUGAACGCACCUUGCGCUCCUUGGUAUUCCGAGGAGCAUGCCUGUUUGAGUGUCAUUAAAUUCUCAACCUCACCAGUUUUCUGAACUGUUCUUCGAGGCUUGGAUGUGGGGGUUGUGCAGGCUGCCUCACGGCGGUCCGCUCCCCUGAAAUGCAUUAGCGAGUUCAUACUGAACUUCCGUCUAUUGGUGUGAUAAUUAUCUACGCCGUGGACGAGGAUCAGACUCGCUUCUAACCGUCCGCGAGGACAAUACCUUGACAAUUUGACCUCAAAUCAGGUAGGACUACCCGCUGAACUUAAGCAUAUCAAUAAGCGGAGGA
rnacentral:misc_RNA from 1 species